rnacentral:tRNA from 1 species
GGGGAUUUAGCUCAGCUACAUAAGCGCCUGCCUUGCAAGCAGGCAGUUGUGAGUUCAAUCCCCG